CCCGCUCGCUGAGCCUCCACUUUCGGUCUUUGAGGCCUUUUCUUCCUCUCGGUGUGGCGUGUGAGUCCUGAGCGCCGGUCUCCGUUUUGUCUCCUGCUUUUAGAGGACAGUUCGUUACCUACCAGGAGUGUCUCCGACUGUGGGCAUCCCCCCUCAGGUGGUUCUUUAAGCCACAAAAAACUGCACCCAAGCUUGUUUGAC
rnacentral:lncRNA from 1 species